AGAUUGAACGCUGGCGGCAGGCCUAACACAUGCAAGUCGAGCGGUAGAGAGGUGCUUGCACCUCUUGAGAGCGGCGGACGGGUGAGUAAUGCCUAGGAAUCUGCCUAGUGGUGGGGGAUAACGUUCGGAAACGGACGCUAAUACCGCAUACGUCCUACGGGAGAAAGCGGGGGACCUUCGGGCCUCGCGCCAUUAGAUGAGCCUAGGUCGGAUUAGCUAGUUGGUGAGGUAAUGGCUCACCAAGGCGACGAUCCGUAACUGGUCUGAGAGGAUGAUCAGUCACACUGGAACUGAGACACGGUCCAGACUCCUACGGG
rnacentral:rRNA from 1 species